rnacentral:rRNA from 1 species
GACAGAGGGUGCAAACGUUGCUCGGAAUCACUGGGCGUAAAGGGCGUGUAGGCGGGAAUGUAAGUCGGGCGUGAAAUCCCCAGGCUCAACCUGGGAACUGCACUCGAAACUGCGUUUCUUGAGUAUCGGAGAGGAAAGCGGAAUACCUGGUGUAGAGGUGAAAUUCGUAGAUAUCAGGUGGAACACCAGUGGCGAAGGCGGCUUUCUGGACGAUUACUGACGCUGAGACGCGAAAGCGUGGGGAGCAAACAGG